rnacentral:rRNA from 1 species
UACGGGGGGGGCAAGCGUUGUUCGGAAUUACUGGGCGUAAAGGGCUCGUAGGCGGCCAACUAAGUCCGACGUGAAAUCCCCAGCUUAACCUGGGAACUGCGUCGGAUACUGGAUGGCUUGAAUUCGGGAGAGGGAUGCAGAAUUCCAGGUGUAGCGGUGAAAUGCGUAGAUAUCUGGAGGAAUACCGGUGGCGAAGGCAGGUCUCUGGGCCAUAACUGACGCUGAGAAGCGAAAGCAUGGGGAGCGAACAGG